rnacentral:rRNA from 1 species
UUGCCCUCCCUCUAGCCCAAUCACUCACAACCCCAUACCAUCAAAAAUCCAUUAUCCUGUCAAACCAAAACAUUUUAACCAUUUCUCAGUAUAGGCGAUAGAAAAGACCUCUGGCGCAAUAGAGACCAAUUGUACCGUAAGGGAAAGAUGAAAUAAUAGUGAAAACUACAAGCAAAAAAUAGCAAAGACUAACCCUUGUACCUCUUGCAUCAUGAUUUAGCAAGAAUAACCAAGCAAAGUGAACUAAAGUUUGCCCUCCCGAAACCCAAGCGAGCUACCUGUGAGCAGCUAAAACUGAGCGAACCCAUCUCUGUCGCAAAAGAGUGGGAUGACUCGCUGGUAGAGGUGAAAAGCCAACCGAGCUGGGUGAUAGCUGGUUACCUGCCAAAUGAAUUUAAGUUCUCCCUUAACUUAUCCCCAAGGACAUCCACUCAACCCCACACACAUUAAAGUUAAGAGCAACUCGAAGGGGGUACAGCUCCUUCGAAAAAGAAUACAACCUCCCCUAGCGGAUAAUUUUUUCCUCUCCUUAUUGUGGGCCUUAAAGCAGCCAUCAACAAAAGAGUGCGUCAAAGCUCCCCCAUUAAAAAUUUUCAAACCCAUUUGACUCCCUUACCCUAAGCAGGUCAACCUAUGACAAUAGAAGAAUUAAUGCUAAAAUGAGUAACUCGGAACCUUCCUCUGCGCAGCGUAAACUUACAUUAACGCAUUAUUAACAGAACUCGACUUAUACCUCCACUCCAACAAGAACUCAUAUUAAACUUAAUCUGUUAAACCAACUCAGGAACGCCCAUAAUAGACGAUUAAAACCCACAAAAGGAACUCGGCAAAUCAUAGACCCGACUGUUUACCAAAAACAUAGCCUUCAGCAAACAACAAGUAUUGAAGGUGAUGCCUGCCCAGUGACCCUCAAAGUUUAACGGCCGCGGUAUCCUAACCGUGCGAAGGUAGCGCAAUCAAUUGUCCCAUAAAUUGAGACUUGUAUGAAUGGCUAAACGAGGUCUUAACUGUCUCCUGUGGGUAAUCAGUGAAAUUAGUAUUCCCGUGCAAAAACGAGAAUGUGAUCAUAAGACGAGAAGACCCUGUGGAACUUAAAAAUAACGACCACCCUCCCACCCACCUUAUCCACCGGACCUACCCCCAUAAAACACCUGGUCGACAUUUUUCGGUUGGGGCGACCUUGGAGAAAAACAAAUCCUCCAAAUCCACAGACCACAGCUCUUCACUAAGACCAACCCAUCAAAGUACUAAUAGUAAUCUCGACCCAAUAUAAUUGAUCAAUGAACCAAGCUACCCCAGGGAUAACAGCGCAAUCUCCUCCAAGAGCCCGUAUCGACAAGGAGGUUUACGACCUCGAUGUUGGAUCAGGACAACCUAAUGGUGCAGCCGCUAUUAAGGGUUCGUUUGUUCAACGAUUAACAGUCCUACGUGAUCUGAGUUCAGACCGGAGCAAUCCAGGUCGGUUUCUAUCUAUGAACUAGACUCCUCCUAGUACGAAAGGACCGGAGAAGUGGGGUCAAUACCACAAAGCACACCCCAGCCUUAUAAGCAAUGAACACAACUCAAUUGCCAAAAGCCCACCAUACACACCAAUCUCCUAGAAAAGGAGCA